rnacentral:sRNA from 1 species
CCCGGCGUUGAAACGCCGGGCUAUUGUCGGCGGUCCCUCCGGGACC